UCUGCUCCUGCUUUAACUGCAGCUGAAUGCAAUUAUUCACCUCAAUAUCGCAUGUCUGGCAACAGUUGAUGGGUGGAUUUGAUGAGGAGAACGUGAUAAUAUUACUGACGAACACCAGAAACAUUAAAUAAACUAUUAGCCCUAGAGGCCUGAAGGGAACCAAGCAAAUCGGGCCGGUGCAGUCAGCUACCCUACGAGCAACCUCGAAAGACGAACACGACCUGGAACUCUGCAUCCAGAAUCCCACCUUUGGUCCUGCAACGACGUAACGAAGCUCGAGACAACUCUUCCCAGUUGAGGCGGGAAUCGAACCCGGAUCACCCGGAUGGUAGAGUACCACCUAAUUAUUGCGCCAAUCACUGAUAGUAAUGGUUGAGCGAGGAAGAUGCGUUUUAUCGAUCCUCGGGAGGACAAACACGCUGGACAACUUCCAACGUCUUGCGGAAGGAGUUCUGGGGGGCAAUCAAGGACACGACGAGGAAAAUCCCGUCUGAUAUAGAGACGCCUCUCUAUAUCUGCAAUCUGUAUUACCAUCUCAAUGAUUCAGCUGUGAUAUCUACUAACCUGAACUAAUUCAAAGAAUGAUGUUCUCAAUUUUCACGUGCGACUGUUAAUUAGUUCUCGCAAAUAUGGAUGUGCUUUUUUUACAUGUAUCGAACAUGAAACUUUUUUUUAGCGCCAAGAAAACAUAAUUUUAGUUGUUGUAAGCAAGAAAAACUUGCCCCAGUCUUACAUAAGAUAAUAUUCGAAUUUUAUUAUAAUUAUUUAUUGGAUUAUGGACGGCGAUUUACUGAAUAAUAUCAAACGAUUUGGUUAUAAACUUUAAUUCUUUAUCAUCGUAUGCAGAAGGUAUAUCUUUCUCCUAUGAUGUCUCCAAAGCGACUAACCCUUAGUAAUUAAAAUUUUCACACUUUGAACCCAUUCAACAAAAAGGCCCUUGUUCAUUCAUUUCUUUCUUUUUCUUCUGUGGUCCUGUUUAUUAGAAGUGUUGUAAAUAUUCACUGAGAGAAGCGAUUCAUUUAUAUGGCAAACGUUGUUUUGCCAUAUGAAUAAUUUCCUAGUAAUUUCGUUCUCAUCCCUACUCCGUGCUGUUUACUGGAUCAGAAGUGAUACCUGUAGACAUCUGGCGGGGAUAACUAAUUAAAUGACGAUUGAUCAGGUUUCGACCGGAGAGGAAAAAUGAUUAAAUUACUAAAAUGGCUAUUAAAAAAUAAGGGUUAAUCGUAGAAGGGUGAAAAUUGAGGAUUGUAUGUAUUUUUGUAUGUUGUAUCAUAAAAAGAUAGAAAAUAAAAAUUUUGUCUAAAAAAUAAAAAAAAUAAAUUUAGGGGUGGACUACCCCUAACAUUUAGGGGGAUGAAAAAUAGAUGUUGGCCGAUUCUCAUAGAUACCGGAUAAGCACCAAAAAUUUCAUCAA